rnacentral:rRNA from 1 species
UACGUAGGGGGCAAGCGUUGUUCGGAAUUACUGGGCGUAAAGCGCACGUAGGCGGCUUUACAAGUCAGGGGUGAAAGCCCGCGGCUCAACCGCGGAAUUGCCCUUGAGACUGUAUCGCUUGAACACGGGAGAGGUGAGUGGAAUUCCGAGUGUAGAGGUGAAAUUCGUAGAUAUUCGGAAGAACACCAGUGGCGAAGGCGGCUCACUGGACCGUUGUUGACGCUGAGGUGCGAAAGCGUGGGGAGCAAACAGG